CUCUAUGUCUAUACCACCCUGAAUGUUCCUGACCCCAUCUAGUCUCAGAAGCUAAGCAGAACAGGGCUUGGUUGCUACUUAGAUGGAAGACAUAACCAGUUUCAAAGAUA
rnacentral:rRNA from 1 species